rnacentral:rRNA from 1 species
AUACGAAGGGGGCUAGCGUUGCUCGGAAUCACUGGGCGUAAAGGGCGCGUAGGCGGCUUAUCAAGUCGGGGGUGAAAGCCCGUGGCUCAACCACGGAAUGGCCUUCGAUACUGGUAGGCUUGAGACCGGAAGAGGACAGCGGAACUGCGAGUGUAGAGGUGAAAUUCGUAGAUAUUCGCAAGAACACCAGUGGCGAAGGCGGCUGUCUGGUCCGGUUCUGACGCUGAGGCGCGAAAGCGUGGGGAGCAAACAGGA